UACAGAGGUCUCGAGCGUUAGGCGGAAUUACUGAGCGUAAAGCGUGCGCAGGCGGUUAUGUAAGACAGGUGUGAAAUCCCAGGGCUUAACCUUGGAACUGCAUUUGUGACUGCAUAGCUAGAGUACGGUAGAGGGGGAUGGAAUUCCGCGUGUAGCAGUGAAAUGCGUAGAUAUGCGGAGGAACACCGAUGGCGAAGGCAAUCCCCUGGACCUGUACUGACGCUCAUGCACGAAAGCGUGGGGAGCAAACAGG
rnacentral:rRNA from 1 species